rnacentral:rRNA from 1 species
AGCGAACGCUGGCGGCAGGCCUAACACAUGCAAGUCGAACGGGCCCCUUCGGGGGUCAGUGGCAGACGGGUGAGUAACACGUGGGAACGUACCUUCCGGUUCGGGAUAACCCGGGGAAACUCGGGCUAAUACCGGAUACGCCUUUCGAGGGAAAGAUUUAUUGCCGAGAGAUCGGCCCGCGUCUGAUUAGCUAGUUGGUGGGGUAACGGCUCACCAAGGCGACGAUCAGUAGCUGGUCUGAGAGGAUGAUCAGCCCACACUGGGACUGAGACACGGCCCAGACUCCUACGGGAGGCAGCAGUGGGGAAUAUUGGACAAUGGGCGAAAGCCUGAUCCAGCCAUGCCGCGUGAGUGAUGAAGGCCCUAGGGUUGUAAAGCUCUUUCGGCGGGGACGAUAAUGACGGUACCCGCAGAAGAAGCCCCGGCUAACUUCGUGCCAGCCGCCGCUGUAA